GCUGCCGGAAGUCCGGCCCAUGGCGGCACCGAGCGGCACAGCGCCGCCAUAUGCAGCAACGCAUGUAAACAGCGCGGCUGGAGGACGGGGAUGUAAUUAAUGCUUAACGCACCCACGGCAGUGCAUAUGACCAAAGCAUCCCAGCUUGUCUGGUGAGAAGAUCUCUGUUGUUUGCAGUAGAGGAAGAAACCUCACCAGUGGCUGCUGCCUUCACAGCGUGCAUCUGGGAACCAAACACAUGCACCAAUGGAAAAAAGAAAAGAAAAAGACUGUUCUAUGCAUUGCUAAAAAACCCACCAUCUCGGCUUCUCAAACUGCUGGUCCAUUUUUUGCUGGUCCAUAAGGUCGGUCCAUUUUUUAAAGCUGUUGUGAAAAUGAAGCCAUGUGAACAUGCGCUGGUGCUUUGGGGGUUGUUUUGAUCAGUUUAUGCUGAUUGUGGCAGAAGUUUCUUGUUAUACGUUAAUUUACAGUACAUCAAAUUUGAACUUCAAGCCAUGCAGAGGAACUGCACUCUAACAAACGGUGCGGAUGGGAAUAAAUUAAGUUGAGCAUUUGCAUUCUGGGAAGUUUUGCAAAGUGUUUAUCUUCUGUAACAGCUUUUAAAACACGUUCAGAACUAUCAACAAGUGCUGUGCUCAGCAGUGAGGAGAGGGGUACAGAUACAUGCGAGCCAACAACAGCUCUCUAAACAGAAGCUGAAAAAAAGCACAUUGAAACUUUGAUCUCACAAACUUCCUUUUUGUAUUGUCCGGGACUUUAUAAAUAAGGUUCGUUAUUGAAGGGAAGUUGAUGCAAUUCUAAAAGCCGUGAGAUAAGAGUUUUGGCUACCGUACCUUCUGUUGGGCUGCUUACCUUCCCAUUUUCACAGUGUGGCUGUUAAAUUACUCCAGCAGUAAGCCCUGGAAACUGUUCAUUUCUGAGUGAUUGUGAAAAGUAUUUGUAAGGCACGUCAGAAUUGUAAAUGUUUAAGCAGAAUGUGGUUUUAAUUCUAGAAUAAGGUAGAAAACUUAGUUACUUAAAAAUAUUCUUAAGGGCACUCUUGGGUUUCCAAGUCUCACAAGCAGAUUCACAGAAGGCUCCUGGCAUUUUAAUCCACACCCCCUGGUUUUCAGUAAGGCAUCACAGAGCAGAAAGUGACUAGGACGUGAGGUGAUGGCCUCAAGCUGCACCAGGGCAGGUCCUGGUUGGAUAUUAGGAAACAUUUCUUCUCAGAAAGAGUGGCGAUGCAUUGGCACUGACUGCCCAAGGAGAUGGUGUCCCUGGGGGCAUUCAGUAUCGCUGGAUGUGGCACUGAGGAACGUGGGUUGGUGGGCAUGGGUGGGCAGUUGGACUCAUUGAUCUUAGUGGUCUUUUCCAGCCUUAAUUAUUCUAUGACUUCAGCAGAUACUGUAGUGACAAGUGACUUUCUUCUGGUUCUUGUGAGACAACCCGCACUGGAGGAAGGGAAAAAUUUGGCCUUGGUCCCCAGCUAUAGACUUUAACCAUGUUGCAUCCCCAAAUCAUUAAGGCCCUCCUGGUACUAAGCUAACAAGUAGUGUGACAAUCUGCAAAGCUGCUUGUGCUGAGCCACACAGGGAUGGACACAGGGCUGCAGAUCAAGUUAGGCCAGGCAACAAAGACAUUACACCUAAUGGCAGUUUUCAAAGUAAUGUAAAAAAAUAGGUUUUUAUGUUUUCAACAGAGCUUAAAAAGAGAAAGCAUUCUACUGCUGAGGAUAAAUACUUGAGCACAGACACCAAACAACUGGGCCUUUUUAACACACUGCUGAUAUUCGGUCUCUUUUCUGUGGUGCUCCUACUUUCCUCAUGCCUCUCAUCAUCUUACUGUAGCAAAGCAAACAAACAAAAUCCAGUCAUUGCAAUGUUGAGGCCAAUACAGAGACAAUAAGCGAAGAAGUCAGCCUGGCGUAUCUCACAGAAGCUGAGCUCACACACCUUGGCUUUAUGAGCUGCUAUUGCUGCAUAUCUGCUCUCAAUUAAAUUGACUUCUUUGAUUUAAA